rnacentral:lncRNA from 1 species
GAGAUGCUAAAGUAGAGAGGAGAGAGGCUAAAGUAGAGAGGAGAGAGGCUAAAGUAGAGAGGAGAGAGGAGAGAGGCUAAAGUAGAGAGGAGAGAGGCUAAAGGAGAGAGGAGAGAGGCUAAAGGAGAGAGGAGAGAGGCAAAGGUAGAGAGGAGAGAGGCUAAAGUAGAGAGGAGAGAGGAGAGAGGCUAAAGUAGAGAGGAGAGAGGCUAAAGUAGAGAGGAGAGAGGAGAGAGGCUAAAGUAGAGAGGAGAGAGGCUAAAGUAGAGAGGAGAGAUGAGAGAGGCUAAAGUAGAGAGGAGAGAGGAGAGAGGCUAAAGUAGAGAGGAGAGAGGAAAGAGGCUAAAGUAGAGAGGAGAGAGGCUAAAGGAGAGAGGAUAGAGGAGAGAGGAGAGAGGCUAAAGGAGAGAGGAGAGAGGCUAAAGGAGUGAGGAGAGAGGCUAAAGUAGAGAGGAGAGAGGCUAAAGUAGAGAGGAGAGAGGAUAGAUGAGAGAGAAGAGAUGCUAAAGUAGAGAGGAGAAAGGAGAGAGGCUAAAGUAGAGAGGAGAGAGGAGAGAGGCGAGAGGCUAAAGUAGAGAGGAGAGAGGAGAGAGGAGAGAGGAGAGAGGCUAAAGUAGAGAGGAGAGAGGAGAGAGGAGAGAGGAGAGAGGCUAAAGUAGAGAGGAGAGAGGCUAAAGGAGAGAGGAGAGAGGCUAAAGGAGAGAGGAGAGAUUAUAAAGUAGAGAGGAGAGAGGAGAGAG